rnacentral:rRNA from 1 species
UACAGAGGUGGCAAGCGUUGUUCGGAUUCAUUGGGCGUAAAGGGUGCGUAGGCGGCGCGGUAAGUCGGGUGUGAAAUCUCGGAGCUUAACUCCGAAACUGCAUUCGAUACUGCCGUGCUUGAGGACUGGAGAGGAGACUGGAAUUUACGGUGUAGCGGUGAAAUGCGUAGAUAUCGUAAGGAAGACCAGUGGCGAAGGCGGGUCUCUGGACAGUUCCUGACGCUGAGGCACGAAGGUCAGGGGAGCAAACGGG